GAUGAACGCUGGCGGCGUGCUUAACACAUGCAAGUCGAACGAAGAUGCCGGAGUGCUUGCACUUUGGCAGACUGAGUGGCGGACGGGUGAGUAACGCGUGGGUAACCUGCCUUAUACAGGGGGAUAACAGUUGGAAACGACUGCUAAUACCGCAUAAGCGCACGGUAUCGCAUGAUACAGUGUGAAAAACUCCGGUGGUAUAAGAUGGACCCGCGUCUGAUUAGCUAGUUGGUGAGGUAACGGCCCACCAAGGCGACGAUCAGUAGCCGGCCUGAGAGGGUGAACGGCCACAUUGGGACUGAGACACGGCCCAGACUCCUACGGGAGGCAGCAGUGGGAAUAUUGCACAAUGGGGGAAACCCUGAUGCAGCGACGCCGCGUGGAGGAAGAAGGUCUUCGGAUUGUAAACUCCUGUUGUUGGGAAGAUAAUGACGGUACCCAACAAGGAAGUGACGGCUAACGUACGUG
rnacentral:rRNA from 1 species